rnacentral:rRNA from 1 species
AUGAACGCUGGCGGCGUGCUUAACACAUGCAAGUCGAACGGUGAAAGCGGAGCUUGCUCCGCUGGAUCAGUGGCGAACGGGUGAGUAACACGUGAGCAACCUGCCCCGGACUCUGGGAUAACAGCUGGAAACAGCUGCUAAUACCGGAUACGAGCUGCGAAGGCAUCUUCUGCAGCUGGAAAGAACUUCGGUCCGGGAUGGGCUCGCGGCCUAUCAGCUAGUUGGUGAGGUAACGGCUCACCAAGGCGUCGACGGGUAGCCGGCCUGAGAGGGUGACCGGCCACACUGGGACUGAGACACGGCCCAGACUCCUACGGGAGGCAGCAGUGGGGAAUAUUGCACAAUGGGCGCAAGCCUGAUGCAGCAACGCCGCGUGAGGG